AGAGGAAUAGCUGGGUCAAAUGGUGGUCCAUCCCCAGAUUUCCAAGGAAUCUCCAUACUGCUUUCCAAAUCGACUGCACCAAUUUGCAGUCCCACCAGCAAU
rnacentral:pre_miRNA from 1 species